rnacentral:rRNA from 1 species
UCUGACUUUUUCUGACUGGAGAGAAAUCCAGAUCUCGUCUGAUCUCUGAAGUUAAGCAGGGCCAGGCCUGGUUAAUAUUUGGAUGGGAGAGCUGUGGGAAUACCAGGCCCCACAGUGGGGC